UGGUUUUGCCAAAGACCUAAGCCCUUUUUAUAGAAGUUCAAAUCUUCUCUCUAGCU
rnacentral:tRNA from 1 species